AAGCUCGUAGUUGAAUUUCGGGAUCAAUGGAUCGGUCAUGCCGUUGGUAUGUACUGGUUUUAUUGAUUCUCACCUUCUAAAGAACCAUGAUGGCAUUAAUUUGUUGUUGUGGGGAAUUAGGACUGUUACCUUGAAAAAAUUAGAGUGUUUAAAGCAGGCUUACGCUUGAAUACAUUAGCAUGGAAUAACGAAAUAGGACAUCGCAUUCUAUUUUGUUGGUUUCUAGGAUCGAUGUAAUGAUUAAUAGGGAUAGUUGGGGGCAUUAGUAUUCAAUUGUCAGAGGUGAAAUUCUUGGAUUUAUUGAAGACUAACUACUGCGAAAGCAUUUGCCAAGGAUGUUUUCAUUAAUCAAGAACGAAAGUUAGGGGAUCGAAGACGAUCAGAUACCGUCGUAGUCUUAACCAUAAACUAUGCCGACUAGGGAUCGGAUGAUGUUGAUUUUUUAAUGACUCAUUCGGCACCUUACGGGAAACCAAAGUGUUUGGGUUCCGGGGGGAGUAUGGUCGCAAGGCUGAAACUUAAAGGAAUUGACGGAAGGGCACCACCAGGGGUGGAGCCUGCGGCUUAAUUUGACUCAACACGGGGAAACUCACCAGGUCCAGACAUAGUAAGGAUUGACAGAUUGAGAGCUCUUUCUUGAUUCUAUGGGUG
rnacentral:rRNA from 1 species